GAUGAACGCUGGCGGCGUGCCUAAUACAUGCGAGUCGAGCGAACGGACGAGAAGCUUGCUUCUCUGAUGUUAGCGGCGGACGGGUGAGUAACACGUGGAUAACCUACCUAUAAGACUGGGAUAACUUCGGGAAACCGGAGCUAAUACCGGAUAAUAUAUUGAACCGCAUGGUUCAAAAGUGAAAGACGGUCUUGCUGUCACUUAUAGAUGGAUCCGCGCUGCAUUAGCUAGUUGGUAAGGUAACGGCUUACCAAGGCAACGAUGCAUAGCCGACCUGAGAGGGUGAUCGGCCACACUGGAACUGAGACACGGUCCAGACUCCUACGGGAGGCAGCAGUAGGGAAUCUUCCGCAAUGGGCGAAAGCCUGACGGAGCAACGCCGCGUGAGUGAUGAAGGUCUUCGGAUCGUAAAACUCUGUUAUUAGGGAAGAACAUAUGUGUAAGUAACUGUGCACAUCUUGACGGUACCUAAUCAGAAAGCCACGGCUAACUACGUG
rnacentral:rRNA from 1 species